UUUCCGUAGGUGAACCUGCGGAAGGAUCAUUAAAGUUAUAGUCCCCCGGCCCCUCCGGGCUGGGGUCUUCUAUACCACCCUUUGUUUAUUACACCUUUGUUGCUUUGUCAGGCCUGCCCUCGGGCUGCUGGCUCCGGCCGGCUCGUGCCUGCCAGAGGACCUAAACUCUGUUUGUAUAUGAAGUCUGAGUACUAUAUAAUAGUUAAAACUUUCAACAACGGAUCUCUUGGUUCUG
rnacentral:misc_RNA from 1 species